GGGGAAUUAGCUCAAGUGGUAGAGCGCUCGCUUAGCAUGUGAGAGGCAGCGGGAUUGAUGCCCGCAUUCUCCA
rnacentral:tRNA from 1 species